rnacentral:rRNA from 1 species
UACAGAGGGGGCAAGCGUUGUUCGGAAUUACUGGGCGUAAAGGGCUCGUAGGCGGCCAACUAAGUCAGACGUGAAAUCCCUCGGCUUAACCGGGGAACUGCGUCUGAUACUGGAUGGCUUGAGUUUGGGAGAGGGAUGCGGAAUUCCAGGUGUAGCGGUGAAAUGCGUAGAUAUCUGGAGGAACACCGGUGGCGAAGGCGGCAUCCUGGACCAACACUGACGCUGAGGAGCGAAAGCGUGGGGAGCGAACAGG